rnacentral:rRNA from 1 species
ACAACUUUCAACAACGGAUCUCUUGGCUCUCGCAUCGAUGAAGAACGCAGCGAAAUGCGAUAAGUAAUGUGAAUUGCAGGAUUCAGUGAAUCAUCGAAUCUUUGAACGCACCUUGCGCCCCUUGGUAUUCCGAGGGGCAUGCCUGUUUGAGUGUCAUUA